GACGAACGCUGGCGGCGUGCUUAACACAUGCAAGUCGAACGGAAAGGCCCUGCUUUUUUGGUGUGCUCGAGUGGCGAACGGGUGAGUAACACGUGAGUAACCUGCUCUUGACUUUGGGAUAACUUCAGGAAACUGGGGCUAAUACCGGAUAGGAUCUCCUGCUCCAUGGUGGGGGUUGGAUAGUUUCGGCGGUUGGGGAUGGACUCGCGGCUUAUCAGCUUGUUGGUGGGGUAGUGGCUUACCAAGGCUUUGACGGGUAGCCGGCCUGAGAGGGUGACCGGCCACAUUGGGACUGAGAUACGGCCCAGACUCCUACGGGAGGCAGCAGUGGGGAAUAUUGCACAAUGGGCGGAAGCCUGAUGCAGCAACGCCGCGUGCGGGAUGACGGCCUUCGGGUUGUAAACCGCUUUCGCCUGUGACGAAGCGUGAGUGACGGUAAUGGGUAAAGAAGCACCGGCUAACUACGUG
rnacentral:rRNA from 1 species